UAAGACAGAGGUGGCAAGCGUUGUUCGGAAUUACUGGGCUUAAAGGGCGCGUAGGCGUUUCAAUAAGUCAGAUGUGGAAUCCUCAGGCUUAACCUGGGAAUUGCAUUUGAAACUUUUGGGAUUGAGUAAGGCAUGGGAGGGCAGAAUUCCUGGUGUAGCGGUGAAAUGCGUAGAUAUCAGGAGGAAGGCCUGUGGCGAAGGUGGCCCUCUAGGCCUUAACUGACGCUGAGGCGCGAAAGCGUGGGUAGCAAACAGGAUUAGAUACCCUGGUAGUCCACGCCCUAAACGGUGGGUACUAGGUGUGGGUGGCGACCGUCAUCUGUGCCGAAGGGAAACCAUUAAGUACCCCGCCUGGGGAGUACGGCCGCAAGGUUGAAACUCAAAUGAAUUGACGG
rnacentral:rRNA from 1 species